GUAGCAUCAAGGCAGUUGGUAUCCCAAGUAUCAGCUAACGUUUCUCUUUUAUACAUCCACAAUGCAUGGCCUGCACCAAGUAAGGAACUGAACCAGGGGUGUGUUUUUACCUCUAGAGCUGCCUCCUUCCAUCAGAGCACCUUGUUGAACUUAAUGUCUAGUUCACAUGUCAUUGACAUGUUUUCUCCCCAACAUGUAAUUACAAAGCUGGGAAACAAAAUGUUGCUCACUGUACUGUAAAAACACAAUGUCACGCACCAGUAGAGGGGAAACUGUGUGCUUGCUGAGCUACAUUUGACUCUGACGCUGUAGUGACUUGAUAGAUACUUGGCAGAGAGCAUUAACCUAAAAUGCUGUAAUGAUUGGAAAUAAAACAUGGUUCAGAGAUGUUUCAAUUAGAAAGAAACAAAACCAAACACACAUAAGUCAACAGCAGAAUUCAUCACUGGUAGAGAUUGUGCAUUGAUAGUUUUUGAAAAAAGGCACUGGACAUUUCUUAACCGGAGGUCACGGACUGCUGGCCGUGCUAGUUAGUGCGCACAGCUGUGCAGCUUAGGACAUUAAGUGGUUUGCUGCUUUGAUGGAAAUUAUGGUUCAGUGGGUUGGAUACAAGAGAGAUGAUUGUUCACAGAAUAACCUGUGAACUUUCACCCCUCUGUAUGGAAACUUGUUUCAGGGCCAAAUCCUUGUAGCUGUCUUCUUGCCCCGGUCAGUGCCAGCCGUACUAUUCACAACACUGCUGCUACCGAGGCCUAGGAUCAGUUCUUAAGAGCAGCCCCAGUAACUGGAGGAAUGGGAGCUGUGUUGAUGAGAAAAAUGGGCUGGAGAGAAGGAGAAGGACUAGGAAAGAACAAAGAAGGAAAUAAGGAACCCAUCCUUGUUGACUUUAAGACAGACCGAAAAGGUCUUGUUGCAGUAGGAGAGAGAGCACAAAAGAGGUCUGGGAACUUCUCCGCUGCAAUGAAAGACUUGUCAGGCAAACAUCCUGUGUCUGCCUUGAUGGAAAUCUGUAAUAAGAGAAGGUGGCAACCACCUGAAUUUCUCUUGGUCCAUGACAGUGGCCCUGACCAUCGCAAACACUUCCUCUUUAGGGUAUUGAGAAAUGGAAGCCCUUACCAGCCCAAUUGUAUGUUUUUCUUGAAUAGGUAUUGAUAAAUGGAAGCGCUUACCAGCCCAGCUUUGCCAGCCCUAAUAAGAAGCAUGCUAAAGCCACAGCAGCUACUGUGGUUCUUCAAGCAAUGGGCCUUGUACCAAAGGACCUCAUGGCUAAUGCCACUUGCUUCAGGAGUGCCUCACGUAGAUAGAUUGAGGUUUUAUAUUAAUCAUUUCAGAUAAUUUUACUCUGCAUCACAAUGUAUUUCCUCCUUAAUGUUGUAAAUAUUUCACAAUUUAAGACAUUGUGUAAAAAGCAAUCUGUACAAACAUCUCCAGGCUUUGGUUUUGUACCAUGGAAAUUGUAUUUAACCACACAGGGUUUUGGUAUGUUUAUAUUGUUUACCUUAGUGAUGUAUUUGUUUAAGUGG
rnacentral:lncRNA from 1 species